GAGUGAGGAUGAGAGUGAGAGAGAGAAUGAGAAGGGAAGAUGAGAGGGAAGAGUAACAAAAGUGAAAACAAUUUUAAAUAGAUUUCAGUUUUUAGUUUUGGUUUUCAUUUUUGUUACUUCUCCGUCUCAUCCUCCUCUCUCAUCUUUCCUCUCAAUCUUAUCUCCACUCU
rnacentral:snoRNA from 1 species